AACGAACGCUGGCGGCAUGCCUAACACAUGCAAGUCGAACGAACCCUUCGGGGGUAGUGGCGCACGGGUGCGUAACGCGUGGGAAUCUGCCCUUUGCUUCGGAAUAACUCAGGGAAACUUGUGCUAAUACCGGAUGAUGUCUUCGGACCAAAGAUUUAUCGGCAAGGGAUGAGCCCGCGUAGGAUUAGGUAGUUGGUGGGGUAAAGGCCUACCAAGCCGACGAUCCUUAGCUGGUCUGAGAGGAUGAUCAGCCACACUGGGACUGAGACACGGCCCAGACUCCUACGGGAGGCAGCAGUGGGGAAUAUUGGACAAUGGGCGCAAGCCUGAUCCAGCAAUGCCGCGUGAGUGAUGAAGGCCCUCGGGUCGUAAAGCUCUUUUACCAGGGAUGAUAAUGACAGUACCUGGAGAAUAAGCUCCGGCUAACUCCGUG
rnacentral:rRNA from 1 species